CAGUAAUAGUCCUCGGAUAAGCAGUCCAGGACUAAAGGUGGCAGUUUGACGGUGCAGGAGACCCUGACUCAUCCUUACUUGUCACUCUGCCAUCCUCAGCAUGUGGCUUCCAUCCUGAGGUCUAAGAUGGCUGCUCCAGCUCCGGCCUUCACAUCCACAUUCUAUCAGAGAGGACGGGACGAGGGAAGUGGAACAUACGACUUUCCCUUUGGGGCAUUGCAAGAGGACGUAUAGCUCUUCUUCAGAAAGUGCUUUGGACGUUUCCCUGGAGGUUUUUGAAGGAAGAAGCAGCCUGAUGAUUUUGCUGUGCUCACUCCUCACAGUCCUGCCAGCCAGAAGCAAGGUUCCUAAGCAGUCAAAACCACGUGCACCCCCUGAGCAGAACGCAGGACAUAGGGAUAAAGACCUCCGUGGAGAGCAGUUCUUCAUCUGGUUUCCAAGGUGGGAGAUGCUUCGCGCUCACUUCCUUGAAUUCCCUAAGGAAAGUCAUCCUAUGACAUGGAACAGAGCCGGCAAGGUGCAUCUCCAUUCUACAGAUGAGGAAACUGAGGCUUAGAGAGAGGGCGCGCAGGAUCAGGAGCUCACAGGUUAGAUUCAGGUCUUCUGGCUCCAGGUUACGGUUCGCCGUGACACCCGGCUGCCUCUCUCCCCCUCUGAUGCAGGCUCCGUGCAAGAAAGAAGACAGAGAUGGCUUUCAAGCACAGGCAGGGCUGGGUUGCUCUCAGGGUUUCUGGCCCGCCAGAGACUUCUCGUGGAGCCUGGCAGCUGCUGAUGGAACCCAGCUCUGGCAGGCCAGAGGGCGCUGCUGCUGGGCCAGCGCUCCCAGCUGAGGAGCGCCACGCUCCCCCCAACCCACAGCAACUCCAGAGACCAUCAGUCAGCGCAGACACACUCAGGGAGGCCCUGAGGCCUUAAGAGUCUGCAAGGAGCCCCUACUCUUGACCAGAUGUGAGCAGCGCCCAGGCCCUCCUUCCUUGGGCUUCUUCCAGGGCCCACGUGGUCGCAGCGGCCACAUGCUGAGCACUUAGCAUGGGAAGGCCCUCUAACCCCAUGCCUGCACCAUCCGCAUCGCCCCACUAGAAGGACCCGUAAGGAACGAGAAUCCCUGUUCACACAGGAGUCACCUGGGACUCCACAAGGUCAAGUAACUUUGUGGGAAGGCUUGUUGCUGGUGUCGGCACGGCACGCAGGUCCACAUCUCAGUCUUUCUGAAGUCAAACCGACAGCCUCUCCACUAUACUACCACCGGCAAACUGUCAUCUCCACCUUUCUGCUCAUUAACACUGCACCACACCUGGGCCCGCAAUAUUCAUUUUUAAUUUUCUUUCUUUAUUUUGAAUAGGACAUAUACUCAAAAAGCCCAAAACUCAUACACUGCAAAAGAGUACACCAUGAAAAGUCUUCCUCCCACUCUUGAUCUCCAAACAUACACAGAAGCAACCGCUCUUACCUGUUUCCUGUAUCUCCUUCCAUAUGCACAUUAUGCAAAAUAUGUCCCCCACCCUUUUUAAACAAAUGACAAGAUAUUUUACACAUCGCUCUGUGCUUGCAUUUUUUUUUUACUAAACAGUAUGUUCUGGGAAUUAUUCCAUAUACAUACGUGAAGUAUUCUCGUUUUUCUUGGUGACGGCCAAGUCUUCCAUUGUCUACAAAUCCAUUUAACCAGUCCUCUUUCAUGGACAUGUAAGUGGUUUCCAAUCUUUUGUUAUGAGAAAGAAUGUUACAUGAGAAGCUUUAUAUAUAUAUAAUGCCCUUGUGCCCAUGUGCAAGACAUCUGUGGGAUAAAGUCUUAGAUGUGAAAGUGCUGAGUAAAUAGGCUCUGGAAUGAAACACUCCCAAUGGGAAGCAGAAGAGAAUGGCGAAGUGUAGACUGAUAACUUUCAUCCCGGUCUGUCACUUC